UUUUGCAUUCGAUUUGGUGUGUUUUCUAAUAACGUGUGUGGUAAACCGGUGUGCUGUGUGUGUUUUGAGCAGCAGACUGAUGUCUCAGUGGUGUACGCCACUCUCCACAUGGGGCUGGACGGGCUUCUAUCCUCUUCAGCGUGGUCGGAGGCUGCCUCCUUCUCUACUCCCACCACUCAGCAGUUCACUGACCCAGAGCCUGAGGGCCACAACUGCUAUGAGGGCUGGGAGGAGGACCUGCUGCCUGAGGAGAGGGAGGUUCCUCUGCUAAACCUCUACCUUACCACCAAGAGAGUGGAGGACAUCGCCCUGAGGCUCGUCUCCUUGCGCCAGGCCUUCACUACCCUGCUUGGUUCCACCCUGAGCAAGAACCAUCUGUUUGUGGCGGGAAAGGUCCUCCUGGGCGGCCUUGUUCAGGCCAACCACAUGGACGAGGCCAAAUUCAUCAGUACCUAUAAUGACUUUGUGGACUACCUGAGUGACCCCUCCAAGCGGAAUGACAUUGAGAGGGAGCUGGCUGAGGCAAAGAUCCAUCAUGUGAACAUGAUAGAUGUCCUCUUUGAGCUGGUGCUGUUUGGGAUGAUGACAGCUCAGAAGUCCCUGAUGGUGCACCCUGGUGGGUUCGUGGAGCGUCUGUAUGCUCUCCUGUACUCCUUCCUGCCCACUGCUGCCAACAUGGAGCCAGAGGCUGAUAGAAUCGUACUGCUGCUCAAUGAUUAUUGUGACACUUUGCCUCCCAACAGGGCUGUAGACACCAAUGCACUACAUUACUUUGCACUGAAUCUGACAUUUUAAAAUAAAAUAAGUUGUAGUUC
rnacentral:lncRNA from 1 species